rnacentral:ribozyme from 1 species
GGUGAUGGCACUGGGGGCAACCCCAGUGUAAACCGCUAGCCAAGUCCAAAGCCUUG